GUAGGAGUGAGCCUGCUCGCGAUGGCGUAGUGUCAGUCAGCAUCACCUUCAAUGAUCCACCGCUAUCGCGAGCAGGCUCACUCCUAC
rnacentral:antisense_RNA from 1 species